GGGGUUGUGGCUCAGUGGUAGAGCGCUUGCCUAGCACGUGAGAGGCCCUGGGUUAGAUCCUCAGCACCA
rnacentral:tRNA from 1 species